AACGAACGCUGGCGGCAUGCCUAACACAUGCAAGUCGAACGAGACCUUCGGGUCUAGUGGCGCACGGGUGCGUAACGCGUGGGAACCUGCCCUUAGGUUCGGAAUAACUCCCCGAAAGGGGUGCUAAUACCGGAUAAUGUCUUCGGACCAAAGAUUUAUCGCCUUUGGAUGGGCCCGCGUUGGAUUAGCUAGUUGGUAGGGUAAAAGCCUGCCAAGGCGACGAUCCAUAGCUGGUCUGAGAGGAUGAUCAGCCACACUGGGACUGAGACACGGCCCAGACUACUGCGGGAGGCAGCAGUGGGGAAUAUGGGACAAUGGGCGAAAGCCUGAGCCAGCCAUGCCGCGUGAGUGAUGAAGGCAGUAGGGGGGUAAAGCUCUUUUACCCGGGAGGAGAAUGACGGGACGGGGAGAAUAAGAGCCGGCUAAGUCCGUG
rnacentral:rRNA from 1 species